rnacentral:tRNA from 1 species
ACCUUCGUGGUGUAGUGGUCAGCACGCUGGGCGCAUAUUCUAGAGUUUCGUGGUUUGAAUCCCGGCGAGGGCA